rnacentral:rRNA from 1 species
CUACGUGCCAGCAGCCGCGGUAAUACGUAGGUGGCAAGCGUUGUCCGGAUUUAUUGGGCGUAAAGCGAGCGCAGGCGGUCAAUUAAGUCUGAUGUGAAAGCCCCCGGCUCAACCGGGGAGGGUCAUUGGAAACUGGUUGACUUGAGUGCAGAAGAGGAGAGUGGAAUUCCAUGUGUAGCGGUGAAAUGCGUAGAUAUUAGGAGGAACACCAGCGGCGAAGGCGGCUUUCUGGACUGUAACUGACACUGAGGCACGAAAGCGUGGGUAGCAAACAGGAUUAGAUACCCUGGUAGUCCACGCCGUAAACGAUGAGCACUAGGUGUUGGGCCCGUUAGGGCUCAGUGCCGCAGUUAACGCAAUAAGUGCUCCGCCUGGGGAGUACGCUCGCAAGAGUAAAACUCAAAGGAAUUGACGGGGACCCGCACAAGCAGCGGAGCAUGUGGUUUAAUUCGAAGCAACGCGAAGAACCUUACCAGGGCUUGACAUCCUGC